CAACCUGCCCUUCAGAGGGGACAACAGUUGGAAACGACUGCUAAUACCGCAUACGAUUUGACCUCGGCAUCGAGGAUAGAUGAAAGGUGGCCUCUAUUUAUAAGCUAUCACUGAAGGAGGGGAUUGCGUCUGAUUAGCUAGUUGGAGGGGUAACGGCCCACCAAGGCGAUGAUCAGUAGCCGGUCUGAGAGGAUGAACGGCCACAUUGGGACUGAGACACGGCCCAG
rnacentral:rRNA from 1 species